rnacentral:rRNA from 1 species
AGUUUGAUCAUGGCUCAGAUUGAACGCUGGCGGCAUGCUUUACACAUGCAAGUCGAGCGGCAGCGCGGGGGGCAACCCUGGCGGCGAGCGGCGAACGGGUGAGUAAUGCAUCGGAACGUACCCUGGAGUGGGGGGAUAACGCCGCGAAAGCGGCGCUAAUACCGCAUAUGCUCUGAGGAGGAAAGUGGGGGACCGCAAGGCCUCACGCUCUGGGAGCGGCCGAUGUCCGAUUAGCUAGUUGGUGGGGUAAAGGCUUACCAAGGCGACGAUCGGUAGCUGGUCUGAGAGGAUGAUCAGCCACACUGGGACUGAGACACGGCCCAGACUCCUACGGGAGGCAGCAGUGGGGAAUUUUGGACAAUGGGGGCAACCCUGAUCCAGCCAUGCCGCGUGAGUGAAGAAGGCCUUCGGGUUGUAAAGCUCGUUCGGUGGGGAAGAAAUUGCAUGGGCUAAUACCCUGUGUAGAUGACGGUACCUGGAGAAGAAGCACCGGCUAACUACGUG